UCACUGCUAUCGGGGUUUGAUUAAGCCAUGCGAGUCGAGAGGGUUCUGACCCUCGGCGGACUGCUCGUAACACGUGGAUAACCUGCCCCAAGGUGGAGGAUAACCCCGGGAAACUGGGGAUAAUACUCCAUAGGUUAGAGAUACUGGAAGUUCUUUGAUCGAAAGUUCCGGCGCCUUAGGAUGGAUCGCGGCCGAUUAGGUAGUUGUGGGGUAACGGCCCACAAGCCUGUCAUCGGUACGGGUUGUGGGAGCAAGAGCCCGGAGAGGAAUCUGAGCACGAUUCCAGGCCCUACGGGCGCAGCAGGCGCGAUG
rnacentral:rRNA from 1 species